rnacentral:lncRNA from 1 species
AGGGCGGAGAGGAAGAGAGCCAGUGUGAAGCAGCAGAGUCUCAGCAGAAACCUCUUCAUCCUGGAAAGAACGGACCAAUCAGGACAGCCAUAUUUCAGUCCCGCCCCUCAGGUCCAGGAAGUAUGUCAGGAGGUGGAUGAGUUCAUCUAUGUGGCCAAUGCAGAGACAGGAAGAGGUAACACCAAGACUCCAACACAUUCCUCAUACUUGCUCCUAUUCCUAGGCCCUUGUUGCCAGCCAGAUAAUCUUGUCAAGCAAACUGACUCCUGCGCUCACAGAAUAUGAGCUAUCGCAACAUCAGGCUGGUUCCACCAGGCUACCUUCCAGGACCAGAGCCAGUGAAAGGUGGUGAGGGGGAGGCGUCUCAGAUCCAGGCAUUGGUGGACCCUGCCUAGUGUUCGUCCUCCAGAACCCUCCUGGUCCUGACUUUUGUGUCCAGAGAGGAACCAGACCCAAUCAGAACCACUAGUCCCAGUACUGCUAGAUUAAAGACCAGGAACCCCAGUGUGGAUAUUGCACAGAGGCUCUGCCUGUCCCUGCUACCCAACCUCUGUCUGUCUGUCUGUCUGUCUGUCUGUCUGUCUGUCUGUCUGUCUGUCUGUCUGUCUGUCUGUCUGUCUGUCUGUCUGUCUGUCUGUCUGUCUGCCUGCCUGCCUGCCUGCCUGCCUGCCUGCCUGCCUGCCUGCCUGCCGGAGUGCUCUGGUCUCAGACUGUAGCUAGCUGUCUAAGGAGCCUGUCUGCUGGGGUGCUCUGGUCUCAGGCAGUAGCUAGCUGUCUAAGGAGCCUGUCUGCUGGGGUGCUCUGGUCUUAGACUGUAGCUAGCUGUCAGAGGAUCCUGUCUGCUGGGGUGUUCUGGUCUCAGGCUGUAGCUAGCUGUCCAAGGAACCUGUCUGCUGGGGUGCUGUGGUCUCAGACUGUAGCUAGCUGUCAGAAGUUCCUGUCUGCUGGGGUGCUCUGGUCUCAGGCUGUAGCUAGCUGUCAGAGGAUCCUGUCUGCUGGGGUGCUCUGGUCUCAGACUGUAGCUAGCUGUCAGAGGAUCCUGUCUGCUGGGGUGUUCUGGUCUCAGGCUGUAGCUAGCUGUCCAAGGAUCCUGUCUGCUGGGGUGCUGUGGUCUCAGACUGUAGCUAGCUGUCAGAGGAUCCUGUCUGCUGGGGUGCUCUGGUCUCAGGCUGUAGCUAGCUGUCAGAGGAUCCUGUCUGCUGGGGUGCUCUGGUCUCAGGCUGUAGCUAGCUGUCAGAGGAUCCUGUCUGCUGGGGUGCUGUGGUCUCAGGCUGUAGCUAGCUGUCAGAGGAUCCUGUCUGCUGGGGUGCUGUGGUCUCAGGCUGUUGCUAGCUGUCAGAGGAUCCUGUCUGCUGGGGUGCUGUGGUCACAGGAUCCUGUCUGCUGGGGUGCUGUGGUCUCAGGCUGUAGCUAGCUGUCAGAGGAUCCUGUCUGCUGGGGUGCUGUGGUCUCAGGCUUUAGCUAGCUGUCAGAGGAUCCUGUCUGCUGGGGUGCUGUGGUCUCAGGCUGUAGCUAGCUGUCCAAGGAUCCUGUCUGCUGGGGUGCUGUGGUCUCAGGCUGUAGCUAGCCUUCAGAGGAUCCUGUCUGCUGGGGUGCUCUGUUCUCAGGCUGUAGCUAGCUGUCAGAGGAUCCUGUCUGCUGGGGUGCUCUGGUCUCAGGCUGUAGCUAGCUGUCAGAGGUUCCUGUCUGCUGGGGUGCUCUGGUCUCAGGCUGUAGCUAGCUGUCAGAGGAUCCUCUCUGCUGGGGUGCUGUGGUCUCAGGCUGUAGCUAGCUAUCUAAGGAACUACCUUCAGCACAAAUGCUUCUGAAGGAAUGUUCUACCUCUGAUGUGCCUUGUUUCAAUGAAUCGCAAAAGAAAAAGUCAUUAUUGGGUUAAUAUUAUUUAAUAACCCUGUCAAAAUGUUUUGGUGAAUAAAUUGUGGGUUGUGAAACAAAACAGAAGUGAAGAGAACUACUGUUUAACUGUAGCUACGGUACUUUAAUGAAGAUAAUGAAGGGUUUUGGUUAUGACAUUGUUUUCUUCUACUACUACUGCGUAGUUUAGAAGCAUUUAGAAUCAUAUUGAUGUGACAAGGAAUUAUGGGUAAUUAUUUUUUUAUACCUUUAUUUCAG